AUUUAGCGAGCUGAGUGGGGAGGAGAGAGGGACAGAGAGCAUGGUUGCUUUAAAGGAGCCAACCGGACAGGAGCCGCUUACACUCAUGUAAGUAGCUCCUCUCCUCUCCCGCUUUGCUCCUUUAAAGCAAGCAGGCUCUCUGUCCCUCUCUCCUCCCCACUCAGUGGCUCUUCUC
rnacentral:miRNA from 1 species